rnacentral:lncRNA from 1 species
AUGGCUGAGACUGACUCCCGCAGGUUGGGUAUUCUAGGGAGCUCAGGACUCCAUCCAGGCGCAGGACUCCAGACUGUGUACCUCCACUGCUCUCCUGGCCACCCCACCCCCAAAGGCCAAGGACAGCCCUGCCAUGGUCUCUGCCCUCGACAGCCCUGCCCCGCUCCCCUCCCCUCUCUCCCCUCCAUCCCUCUUCCAUUCUGGACUUGCUCUCGCUCCGUCUCUGCCUCUCUGUCUCUCUUCCUCCUCUUCUCUGUGUCUCUCCGUGUUUCUCUUUCCCCGUCUGGGCUCUGUCUUUUCCUCACCACAGCCCAGCGUCGUGACCCUCUGCUCCCCGAAGCCUUCCUGCCCUCCUUCCCUGGACCCAUCCUGGAGCCCCGGAGGCGGACUGGGCGGCCGCGCUGGACGGGAGCGACCCGGCAGCCGGAGGGGGGUUGCUGGCUGGGGCCCCGCGCCGCCCCCGCCCCGCACUGGGCAUGCCCCGGUCGCUUCUAUAUAAAGCGGCGCCACCCGCGCCCCGCUGUGCCGCCGCCACCGCUGCCACCGCAGCCACCGCUGCCACCGCGCCGCCGUCGCUCUGCUCCACGCCUGCCCGCCUGCCCCACCGAGCCGCUGCCGCCCUCCAGGUACCCGGGCUCCUGCCCGCCCCCGGGGGAGAGCCAGGCAGGGGGGCUGCGGGAGUGGGGGCCGCAGGGAUCCAGCGCGCCCCCGGCUGGAAGGGCGGGGUGCUGGGACCUGUCCAGCGCUGCCUGGCGCAAGCCGAUGCCUGAGCUCUGGGCAGCGGGGUGCGCGGGGUCAGGACCCCUAGGGUCCCGGCAGAAAUCCCACUGCCUCCUUGGAGUGGGGGUGGGGCAGUCUUGGACAUCUGUCAGGGACAGGACACCUGCGCCCUGGGGGCCACCUCUCCACCCCAGAGUCUUAGGGGCUGGGGUGGAGAGGUGGGGUACAGGCCCAGCUGCCCUGACUUCCUCCUUUGUCUCUCUCCCUCUAUCUCUGCCAUCAAUCUCUCAGCCACUCCACCUGUAA